rnacentral:rRNA from 1 species
GAUCCUGGCUCAGGAUGAACGCUAGCUACAGGCUUAACACAUGCAAGUCGAGGGGAAACGACAUCGAAAGCUUGCUUUUGAUGGGCGUCGACCGGCGCACGGGUGAGUAACGCGUAUCCAACCUGCCCACCACUUGGGGAUAACCUUGCGAAAGUAAGACUAAUACCCAAUGAUAUCUCUAGAAGACAUCUGAAAGAGAUUUAAAGAUUUAAUCGGUGAUGGAUGGGGAUGCGUCUGAUUAG